CCAAAAGAGUUUCCUUUGAAAGAUGAACAACCAUAUGCACCAUCAAAAAAUGAUGGUGGAAAUUUUUUUUUUAACUUACAAAAAAUGAGUACAAUAUCCUUCUGUGAUCUCUCAAAUAAGUUAAUCUUUAAUUUUCGACAACAUAGUUCUUGAAAGAAUACUCCCAGCUCAAUCAAUGCAGUUUGAAUAUCACCACCCAAAUAGCCAUGAAUAAUCAUAAGA
rnacentral:lncRNA from 1 species